CACACACACACACAGAAGCACUUCCCCCCAUCAAUCUGGUGCCAAGCAGGAAGUGACACAGCUGGGCAGAAUCAGAAUAUAAGCAGGGGCAAACAGGAAAUUGCUCUCAUCUCUUUCCUGCUGAGAUGCUGAACAGUGAAGAUGUGGGACGCUGGAGGAGUAAGAGGUCCCUGGACCUUUCUCUGGAAUAUCCUGGAGGAACCAGAGCUUUUCCCAGCAGACCGAACUCAUGAACAAGCUUGCUCACCACUCCCUACUCUCCUUCAUACAGUGAAAGCUUCAUGUUGACAGAGGAAUGGCCUCAC
rnacentral:lncRNA from 1 species